rnacentral:rRNA from 1 species
GAUGAACGCUGGCGGCGUGCCUAAUACAUGCAAGUCGAGCGAACGGACGAGAAGCUUGCUUCUCUGAUGUUAGCGGCGGACGGGUGAGUAACACGUGGAUAACCUACCUAUAAGACUGGGAUAACUUCGGGAAACCGGAGCUAAUACCGGAUAAUAUUUUGAACCGCAUGGUUCAAAAGUGAAAGACGGUCUUGCUGUCACUUAUAGAUGGAUCCGCGCUGCAUUAGCUAGUUGGUAAGGUAACGGCUUACCAAGGCAACGAUGCAUAGCCGACCUGAGAGGGUGAUCGGCCACACUGGAACUGAGACACGGUCCAGACUCCUACGGGAGGCAGCAGUAGGGAAUCUUCCGCAAUGGGCGAAAGCCUGACGGAGCAACGCCGCGUGAGUGAUGAAGGUCUUCGGAUCGUAAAACUCUGUUAUUAGGUAAGAACAUAUGUGUAAGUAACUGUGCACAUCUUGACGGUACCUAAUCAGAAAGCCACGGCUAACUACGUG